UAGGGAAUCUUCCGCAAUGGACGCAAGUCUGACGGAGCAACGCCGCGUGAGUGAAGAAGGGUUUCGGCUCGUAAAACUCUGUUGUUAAGGAAGAAUGACAGGCAGAGUAACUGCUGCCUGUGUGACGGUACUUAACCAGAAAGCCACGGCUAACUACGUGCCAGCAGCCGCGGUAAUGCGUAGGUGGCAAGCGUUAUCCGGAAUUAUUUGGCGUAAAGCGCGCGUAGGCGGUUUUUUAAGUCUGAUGUGAAAGCCCCCGGCUCAACCGGGGAGGGUCAUUGGAAACUGGGGAACUUGAGUGCAGAAGAGGAGAGUGGAAUUCGAUGUGUAGCGGAGAAAUGCGCAGUGAUAUGGAGGAACACCAGUUGAGAAGGCGGCUCUCUGGUCUGUAACUGACGCUGAUGUGCGAAAGCGUGGGGAUCAAACAGG
rnacentral:rRNA from 1 species